rnacentral:rRNA from 1 species
UACGGAGGGGGCGAGCGUUAUUCGGAAUUAUUGGGCGUAAAGGGCGCGUAGGCGGCUCGAUAAGUCAAAGGUGAAAUCCCUCGGCUCAACUGAGGAACUGCCUUUGAAACUGUCGAGCUUGAGUCCGGGAGGGGGUAGCGGAAUUCCCAGUGUAGCGGUGAAAUGCGUAGAUAUCUGGAGGAAUACCGGUGGCGAAGGCGGCAUCCUGGACCAUAACUGACGCUGAGGCGCGAAAGCUAGGGGAGCAAACGGGG